rnacentral:rRNA from 1 species
GAUGAACGCUGGCGGCGUGCCUAAUACAUGCAAGUCGAGCGGACAGAUCAGGAUCUUGCUCCUCUGUCGUUAGCGGCGGACGGGUGAGUAACACGUGGAUAACCUCCCUAUAAGACUGAGAUAACUUCGGGACACCGGAGCUAAUACCAGUAAAUAUAUUGAACCAUAUGGUGCAAUAGUGAUAGACGAUUUUGCUGUCGCUAAUAGAUGGAUCCGCGCCGCAUUAGCUAGUUGGUAAGGUAACGGCUUACCAAGGCAACGAUGCGUAGACGACCUGAGAGGGGGGUCAGCCACCCUGCAUCGGAACCACGGCCCAGACUCCUAUGCUACGCAGCAGUAGGGAAUGGUCCGCAAUGGGCGGAAGCCUGGCGUAGCACCGCCGCGCGAGUUAUGAAGGUCUGCGGAUCGUAAAACUCUGUUAUUAGUGAAGAACAAAUGUGUAAUUAACUAGUCACUUCUUGACGGUACCUAAUCAGAAAGCCCCGGCUAACUACGUG